GGUGGUGUUGCUUAGUGCUAGAGCACUUGCCUAACAUGCAUGAGGCCCUGGGUUCAAUCCCCAGCAACAUCA
rnacentral:tRNA from 1 species